rnacentral:rRNA from 1 species
AUUGAACGCUGGCGGCAUGCCUUACACAUGCAAGUCGAACGGUAACAGGUCUUCGGAUGCUGACGAGUGGCGAACGGGUGAGUAAUACAUCGGAACGUGCCCGAUCGUGGGGGAUAACGGAGCGAAAGCUUUGCUAAUACCGCAUACGAUCUACGGAUGACAGCAGGGGACCGCAAGGCCUUGCGCGGACGGAGCGGCCGAUGGCAGAUUAGGUAGUUGGUGGGAUAAAAGCUUACCAAGCCGACGAUCUGUAGCUGGUCUGAGAGGACGACCAGCCACACUGGGACUGAGACACGGCCCAGACUCCUACGGGAGGCAGCAGUGGGGAAUUUUGGACAAUGGGCGAAAGCCUGAUCCAGCCAUGCCGCGUGCAGGAUGAAGGCCUUCGGGUUGUAAACUGCUUUUGUACGGAACGAAAAGACUCUUUCUAAUAAAGAGGGUCCAUGACGGUACCGGAAGAAUAAGCACCGGCUAACUACGUG